rnacentral:tRNA from 1 species
AGUUAGGUCAGCUAAUUUAAGCUUUUGGGCCCAUACCCCAAACAUGUUGGUUAAAAUCCAUCCCUCACUA